UCCCUAGUUGGUAAAGAAUCUGCCUGCAAUGCAGGAGACCCAGGUUCAAUCCCUGGUUAGGGAA
rnacentral:tRNA from 1 species